GGUGACUAUUCCUCAUUGGUGGAAACCCUGACGCAGCAAUACCGCGGGAGUGAAGCAGGUUUUCGGAUCGUAAAGCUCUGUUAUUGCGGAAGUAAAAAAGAUGGUCCCCAAGAAGAAAGUCCCUGCUAACUACGUCCCAGCAGCCGCGGUAAUACGUAGGGGACAAGCGUUGUCCGGAUUUACUGGGCGUAAAGGGCACGCAGGCGGUUUUUUAAGUCAGAUGUGAAAGGUACCGGCUCAACCGGUGACAUGCAUUUGAAACUGAAAGUACUUGAGUAUUGGAGAGGCAAGUGGAAUUCCUAGUGUAGCGGUGAAAUGCGUAGAUAUUAGGAGGAACACCGGUGGCGAAGGCGGCUUGCUGGACAAAUACUGACGCUGAGGUGCGAAAGCGUGGGGAGCAAACA
rnacentral:rRNA from 1 species